UACGAAGGGGGCUAGCGUUGUUCGGAAUCAUUGGGCGUAAAGAGCGCGUAGGCGGCCGAGUAAGUCCGACGUGAAAUCUGGAGGCUCAACCUCCAGCGGUCGUUGGAAACUACUCGGCUAGAGUCCGGAAGAGGAGAGUGGAAUUCCUGGUGUAGCGGUGAAAUGCGCAGAUAUCAGGAAGAACACCGAUGGCGAAAGCAGCUCUCUGGGACGGUACUGACGCUGAGGCGCGAAAGCGUGGGGAGCGAACAGG
rnacentral:rRNA from 1 species